rnacentral:rRNA from 1 species
AACGAACGCUGGCGGCAUGCCUAACACAUGCCAGUCGAACGAGACCUUCGGGUCUAGUGGCGCACGGGUGCGUAACGCGUGGGAACCUGCCCUUAGGUUCGGAAUAACUCCCCGAAAGGGGUGCUAAUACCGGAUAAUGUCUUCGGACCAAAGAUUUAUCGCCUUUGGAUGGGCCCGCGUUGGAUUAGCUAGUUGGUAGGGUAAAAGCCUACCAAGGCGACGAUCCAUAGCUGGUCUGAGAGGAUGAUCAGCCACACUGGGACUGAGACACGGCCCAGACUCCUACGGGAGGCAGCAGUGGGGAAUAUGGGACAAUGGGCGAAAGCCGGAUCCAGCAAUGCCGCGGGAGUGAUGAAGGCCUUAGGGUUGUAAAGCUCUUUUACCCGGGAUGAUAAGGACAGUACCGGGAGAAUAAGCUCCGGCUAACUCCGG